rnacentral:rRNA from 1 species
UUGAACGCUGGCGGAAUGCUUUACACAUGCAAGUCGAGCGGCAGCGCGGCCUUCGGGCUGGCGGCGAGCGGCGAACGGGUGCGUAAUGCAUCGGAACAUGCCCAGUCGUGGGGGAUAACACUUCGAAAGAAGUGCUAAUACCGCAUACGUCCUGAGGGGGAAAGCGGGGGAUCGCAAGACCUCGCGCGAUUGGAGUGGCCGAUGUCAGAUUAGCUAGUUGGUGGGGUAAAGGCCUACCAAGGCGACGAUCUGUAGCUGGUCUGAGAGGAUGAUCAGCCACACUGGGACUGAGACACGGCCCAGACUCCUACGGGAGGCAGCAGUGGGGAAUUUUGGACAAUGGGGGCAACCCUGAUCCAGCCAUUCCGCGUGAGUGAAGAAGGCCUUCGGGUUGUAAAGCUCUUUCGGCAGGAACGAAACGGUGGGCUCUAACAUAGUCCGCUAAUGACGGUACCUGAAGAAGAAGCACCGGCUAACUACGUG